CUGGUGGUUAAUUGGAGAUGAGUCUCAAGGACUUUCUUUGAAUGACGAUCCUCAGAUCUCAGCCUCCUGAGUAGCUAGGAUUACAGGUGUGAGUCAUGGGUGCCAAGCUAUAUCCUGCCAUUUUUAAUGGUUAGCACAUACCCAUAAAUUGGCUGUCUCAGGAAAAUAUAUCCAUGUUUUAGACUGACUUCCAUUUUAAAAACAACUAGAAAGGCCAGAACUUUUUUCCUGGGGUUUAUGUUAUUCCUUCAGUGGAAACACUGUCUUCUGGCCUAUCCCCUUUGAGUAAUUUCCUUAUCUAACUUAUUGGAUAAGGAAAUAGGGAAAGUGCUGAAGGAAUGCCCUAAGUCACAUAGCACUGACAAUAUUAGGUUCAUUUCUUGACUGUGGAAUCAUGUCUUGUUUCCCUAGUCUUUGGUGCAAAGCAGGUAUUAA